rnacentral:rRNA from 1 species
AGCUUCAGUAGCGUAUAUUAAAGUUGUUGCAUUUAAAAAGCUCGUAGUUGGUGGUUCGCUACUGCCUAGUGUUCGCUUUGCGUGCGUGGGUGUGAGUUGAUACUUGGCUCGUUUUUUCGAGCUACAAACACUGUGAGUAAAUUAGAGGGAUCCAAACAGGCUUGGCCAGAAUGUUUCAGCAUGGUAUGGGUUCUCGACUACUUCAGCUUUUUGGCUUCGCUAAUGUUGCUGAAGGAGUAAAGGUUAAUAGGGAUGGAUGAUGGGAUUUGUAUUGAGUUGCUAGAGGUGAAAUUCUUGGACCAACUCAAGACAUCCAGAAGCGAAAGCUCUUCUCACAGAUGCUCUUA